AUUGAACGCUGGCGGCAGGCCUAACACAUGCAAGUCGAGCGAGCGGCGGACGGGUGAGUAAUGUCUGGGAAACUGCCUGAUGGAGGGGGAUAACAACUGGAAAAGGUAGCUAAUACCGCAUACGCUCCGAUGUGCGCAGAUAGGGUUAGCUAGUAGGUGGGGUAACGGCGCACAUAGGCGACGAUCCCUAGCUGGUCUGAGAGGAUGACCAGCCACACUGGAACUGAGACACGGUCCAGACUCCUACGGGAGGCAGCAGUGGGGAAUAUUGCACAAUGGGCGCAAGCCUGAUGCAGCCAUGCCGCGUGUGUGAAGAAGGCCUUCGGGUUGUAAAGCACUUUCAGCGGGGAGGCGUUACCCGCAGAAGAAGCACCGGCUAACUCCGUGCCAGCAGCCGCGGUAAUUC
rnacentral:rRNA from 1 species